rnacentral:rRNA from 1 species
GCUUUGUGGUUCAACUGAUUUGAAGAGCUUGCUCAGAUAUGACGAUGGACAUUGCAAAGAGUGGCGAACGGGUGAGUAACACGUGGGAAACCUACCUCUUAGCAGGGGAUAACAUUUGGAAACAGAUGCUAAUACCGUAUAACAAUAGCAACCGCAUGGUUGCUACUUAAAAGAUGGUUCUGCUAUCACUAAGAGAUGGUCCCGCGGUGCAUUAGUUAGUUGGUGAGGUAAUGGCUCACCAAGACGAUGAUGCAUAGCCGAGUUGAGAGACUGAUCGGCCACAAUGGGACUGAGACACGGCCCAUACUCCUACGGGAGGCAGCAGUAGGGAAUCUUCCACAAUGGGCGAAAGCCUGAUGGAGCAACGCCGCGUGUGUGAUGAAGGGUUUCGGCUCGUAAAACACUGUUGUAAGAGAAGAAUGACAUUGAGAGUAACUGUUCAAUGUGUGACGGUAUCUUACCAGAAAGGAACGGCUAAAUACGUGCCAGCAGCCGCGGUAAUACGUAUGUUCCAAGCGUUAUCCGGAUUUAUUGGGCGUAAAGCGAGCGCAGACGGUUAUUUAAGUCUGAAGUGAAAGCCCUCAGCUCAACUGAGGAAUUGCUUUGGAAACUGGAUGACUUGAGUGCAGUAGAGGAAAGUGGAACUCCAUGUGUAGCGGUGAAAUGCGUAGAUAUAUGGAAGAACACCAGUGGCGAAGGCGGCUUUCUGGACUGUAACUGACGUUGAGGCUCGAAAGUGUGGGUAGCAAACAGGAUUAGAUACCCUGGUAGUCCACACCGUAAACGAUGAGUGCUAGGUGUUUGAGGGUUUCCGCCCUUAAGUGCCGCAGCUAACGCAUUAAGCACUCCGCCUGGGGAGUACGACCGCAAGGUUGAAACUCAAAGGAA